rnacentral:rRNA from 1 species
UACGGAGGGAGCUAGCGUUGUUCGGAAUUACUGGGCGUAAAGCGCGCGUAGGCGGCUUUGUAAGUUAGAGGUGAAAGCCCGGGGCUCAACUCCGGAACUGCCUUUAAAACUGCAUCGCUUGAAUCCGGGAGAGGUGAGUGGAAUUCCGAGUGUAGAGGUGAAAUUCGUAGAUAUUCGGAAGAACACCAGUGGCGAAGGCGGCUCACUGGACCGGCAUUGACGCUGAGGUGCGAAAGCGUGGGGAGCAAACAGG